GGGGAUGUAGCUCGAUGGCAGAGCACUUGCUUAGCAUGCAUGAAGAGGCCCUGGGUUCCAUCCCCA
rnacentral:tRNA from 1 species